CGGCACGGGUGAGUAACACGUAUGCAAUCCACCUGUAACAGGGGGAUAACCCGGAGAAAUCCGGACUAAUACCCCAUAAUAUGGGCGCUCCGCAUGGAGAGCCCAUUAAAGAGAGCAACUUUGGUUACAGACGAGCAUGCGCUCCAUUAGCCAGUUGGCGGGGUAACGGCCCACCAAAGCGACGAUGGAUAGGGGUUCUGAGAGGAAGGUCCCCCACAUUGGAACUGAGACACGGUCCAA
rnacentral:rRNA from 1 species